GAUGAACGCUAGCGGCAGGCUUAAUACAUGCAAGUCGAGGGGCAGCAUGUCCCGACGCAAGUCGGGAUGAUGGCGACCGGCAAACGGGUGCGGAACACGUACAGAACCUUCCUUCGAGCGGGGAAUAGCCCAGGGAAACUUGGAUUAAUACCCCGUAAUAUUAUGGAGUGGCAUCACUUUAUAAUUAUAGCUCCGGCGCUUGAUGAUGGGUGUGCGCCNGAUUAGGUAGUUGGCGGGGUAACGGCCCACCAAGCCUUCCGAUCAGUAACUGGUGUGAGAGCACGACCAGUCACACGGGCACUGAGACACGGGCCCGACUCCUACGGGAGGCANCAGUAAGGAAUAUUGGUCAAUGGACGCAAGUCUGAACCAGCCAUGCCGCGUGGAGGAUGAAGGUCCUCUGG
rnacentral:rRNA from 1 species